rnacentral:rRNA from 1 species
CCUACGGGAGGCAGCAGUGGGGAAUAUUGGGCAAUGGAGGAAACUCUGACCCAGCAACGCCGCGUGAAUGAUGAAGGUCUUCGGAUUGUAAAGUUCUUUUCUAAGGGAAGAAGAAAGUGACGGUACCUUAGGAAUAAGCGUCGGCUAACUACGUGCCAGCAGCCGCGGUAAUACGUAGGAGGCGAGCGUUAUCCGGAUUGACUGGGGGUAAAGGGUGCGUAGGUGGUUUGGCAAGUUAGUAGCGUAACUCCAAGGCUCAACCUUGGAACUACUACUAACACUGUUGGCCUUGAGUGCAGGAGGGGUAAGCGGAAUUCCUGGUGUAGCGGUGAAAUGCGUAGAUAUUAGGAGGAACACCAGUGGCGAAGGCGGGUUGCUGGACUGUAACUGACGCUGAGGCACGAAAGCGUGGGGAGCAAACAGGAUUAGAUACCCCAGUAGUC